CCACGGGUGGCAGCAGUGGGGAAUAUUGGACAAUGGGCGAAAGCCUGAUCCAGCCAUGCCGCGUGUGUGAAGAAGGCCUUCGGGUUGUAAAGCACUUUCAGUGGGGAAGAAAGCCUUGGGGCUAAUACCCUCGAGGAAGGACAUCACCCACAGAAGAAGCACCGGCUAACUCCGUGCCAGCAGCCGCGGUAAUACGGAGGGUGCGAGCGUUAAUCGGAAUUACUGGGCGUAAAGCGCGCGUAGGCGGUCUGAUAAGCCGGUUGUGAAAGCCCCGGGCUCAACCUGGGAACGGCAUCCGGAACUGUCAGGCUAGAGUGCAGGAGAGGAAGGUAGAAUUCCCGGUGUAGCGGUGAAAUGCGUAGAGAUCGGGAGGAAUACCAGUGGCGAAGGCGGCCUUCUGGACUGACACUGACGCUGAGGUGCGAAAGCGUGGGUAGCAAACAGGAUUAGAUACCCUCGUAGUC
rnacentral:rRNA from 1 species